rnacentral:rRNA from 1 species
CAACCUGCCGACAACACUGGGAUAGCCUUUCGAAAGAAAGAUUAAUACCGGAUGGUAUAGUUUCCCCGCAUGGGAUGAUUAUUAAAGAAUUUCGGUUGUCGAUGGGGAUGCGUUCCAUUAGGCAGUUGGCGGGGUAACGGCCCACCAAACCUACGAUGGAUAGGGGUUCUGAGAGGAAGGUCCCCCACAUUGGAACUGAGACACGGUCCAAACUCCUACGGGAGGCAGCAGUGAGGAAUAUUGGUCAAUGGACGAGAGUCUGAACCAGCCAAGUAGCGUGAAGGAUGACUGCCCUAUGGGUUGUAAACUUCUUUUAUACGGGAAUAAAGUGAGCCACGUGUGGCUUUUUGUAUGUACCGUAUGAAUAAGGAUCGGCUAACUCCGUGCCAGCAGCCGCGGUAAUACGGAGGAUCCGAGCGUUAUCCGGAUUUAUUGGGUUUAAAGGGAGCGUAGGCGGGUUGUUAAGUCAGUUGUGAAAGUUUGCGGCUCAACCGUAAAAUUGCAGUUGAUACUGGCGACCUUGAGUGCAACAGAGGUAGGCGGAAUUCGUGGUGUAGCGGUGAAAUGCUUAGAUAUCACGAAGAACUCCGAUUG